UACGUAGGGGGCAAGCGUUGUCCGGAAUCAUUGGGCGUAAAGCGCGCGUAGGCGGAUUUGCAAGUCGGGGGUGAAAGCCCGAGGCUCAACCUCGGAACUGCCCUCGAUACUGCAAGGCUCGAGUCCGAGAGAGGAGAGUGGAAUUCCUAGUGUAGAGGUGAAAUUCGUAGAUAUUAGGAAGAACACCAGUGGCGAAGGCGGCUCACUGGCUCGGUACUGACGCUGAGGCGCGAAAGCGUGGGGAGCAAACAGG
rnacentral:rRNA from 1 species